AUUUCCACCUCCUGCUCUUCUCUAGUGCACUUUUAUCCCUAUUAGUGAGGAGAUGAGGAGAGGUGGUCCAACUGCAAGCUAGAGCCUCAUUAUUUUGUUUUGCGUCAACGGCCGUUUGGAUUUUCUUAGGGUGACUUUUUUUUUUUUUUUUUUCUCAAACUUACGAGAGACAUGUAAUAUAAAGAUGCAUUCUGAUUUUAUUUUUACUUUUUUAAAAUCACGUAAAACUAAUUCAUAACAUUUUAUCUGUUGCUAUAUAUUCUAACAUGGUUCAAUUGAACCCUCAAGAAGGACAAAUGCCAAACCACAACCAUACUAUCAACCAGUUUUCCUUCUGCAGACACUGCCAGCCAUAUCAUAGCACAAAAUAAAAACAUUUUACGUGUUUUUUUUUUAAGUAUAAUUGAAACGAAGAAAUAUAUAUCAAAAGCUUUUCUGUUCUUAUUUUCCGCCACGUUUAUUGUCAUCGACCAAAAUGCCUAUUUUAUUGCAUUUUGGAGAAACGCAGUGGGCGUCCGCUUUGAAAUUAUCCUGUGUUGCAUUGAUGGUAUUUCAGGCCUGUCCAGUGAAUUCCAUGGAUGUGCUGGUGCCACCACAGAUUCUCGCUCUCAAUGGGACUGUUGUCAGAAUCCCCUGUGCAUUCACUUCAUGCUACAAGCUGGAUCCCAGCAAGUUUGCCAUGAACUGGACCUAUCAGGAGACAAGCAACAGCACAGAAGAAAUGUUCAUGACCUAUAAGAACAAGAUAACACCAAAACCGAGCCGAUUUGGAGAUCGAGUCACAUUUUCUGGAAACCUGGAUAAGAACGACCUGAGCAUCACUAUCUCAGAUGUGCAGUUGACAGACGAGGGCAUCUACAACUGCUAUGUACGCAACCCUCCAGACCGCAUCCUAGGCCACGGCACCAUUCAGGUCUACGUCCGGACUGAAUUGCCGCCACCAAGAGAUUCGACCAUUGCUGUUGCCAUCGGGGCAUCUGUGGGGGGAAUUCUAGCUUUGCUUAUUCUGUCCAUGGUAGUGGUGAAGUGUAUUCGCAGACAUAAAAACCAGGAGCUGAUCUCAGAUGAGCAGAAGAUGGAGGAAGAGGGCAAAGCAGAUGGAGAAGGAGGCACAGAAGAAGCUACAAAACAGCCCUAACCCGCCAUCUUAGCCCUGGAGGCCUAACGGAUGGUGGAGCUCCAUCCUACACAUUCUGAAAUUUAAGCCUCCUGCCUGAAGAUAUAUAACACUUGUUUGACUCUUCAUCCUAUAACGGUCUCGUUCAACAUUCCUCGGAUUUUCUCGUGUAGCAGUCAAACAUGUCAUAAAGGAAGAUGUCAUAAAGGAAGACCAUGGUAUCCAGUUACCAGUGAGAAAUCACAAAGGGUUUCAAGCUGCCUCUUCCACUCAAUAUAACAGGUUAAGGUGAUAAAUUCCUGCAAAACUCUUCGUUUAGACCACCCUUUUUUUCAAAGUCAAGUAAUGGAUUUUUUUUGUUCUUCAACUACUGCCACCAACUCUAUUGAUAUCAACCAUCCAGUAUUUCUGCUGAGAAUUUUCUUAAGAAAUGAAUUUUAAAUUAUACAAGGUCCUUACAGCUGCCAAAGUGUUUUUACCCUUAUGGUGUUUAUACAUUUUAAGAGUUUCUUGAGAAAUCACUGCCCUCAACAACCUCUAAAGUGGAUGUAGAAAUAUAACGUGUGUAUUUGUGUGUGCCUUCUCAUUGUGCCCUGUUUGCUCCUGUUGGGUCUAGAAGCUUAUGCUGUUUUUACAGGAGACUAUUAGGCAGGAUCAUGACUAUACAUCAGUAACAAAAUCUAGAAUUCGCUAGUGUACAGCACAUAGCACACCUCCAAAACAUGUACAAUCGUUGCAUGACAAUUUUUUUAUGCAUGAUACAGAUAAUUUGCACAAAAAAAAAAAAAAAAAAUAUGCACAAGCAUCUGGCACAUUCCACAAAUAGGGUAUGUUUUGCUGUUGAUGAGGAAUUGGUCAGAUUUCACAGAACAGCAUCAUCAUUGCAAUAGAUGAAAAGUAAAAAUAAGUGAAUUCUUAAUUUAUUUGUUAACCUUAUUAAAACAUAUUUCCCCCAUUACCAAAUAAGUAAAUAAAUAAACAAACAAAUAAAGCUAGUUUGGAUGUAAAUAAACUCUAUUUCCUCUUCAUGAACUUGUGCUUCGUCAAACAACGCUUUGGGGAACGCGCUUAGCGUGAGCGACUCUGAAUAUUGUGUGUGAUAAGUCCAAUGGAAGAGCGUGACGUCACAGGCAGGUGACAUAAAUGACCAGGAAGCUAUAAAAGCACAUGCCGCGCAGCUGGCAUCAGCUUUGCGUCUUUCAGCAAGCGCUCUGUGUGUGAAUGUCACUUGUUUGUCUUGUGAGUCUUAUUCACUGUUGUCUCUCCAGUUAGAGCUCCAAAUCAUGCCGAAGAGCAAGGCGAAAUCAAAACAUAGUGAAGGCGGUUACAAAUCACUUUAUAGAUUGUGUGUUCCUCCCUGCCUGCGAUAUAUAACGGGUGGGGAUACACACAGCUUAUGCGUGGUUUGCCUGGGAGUGAAGCACGCUGAGUUGGCUUUCGAGGGGGCCGACUGUCCGCACUGUGAGCGAAUGUGGGUGCGGCUGCUUCCUUCCCGGAGGGCCCUCUUUGAGGAGGGGGCCAUCGCCAGCAUUCCCGCGGUGCUGGUCCCGCUUCUGCUGAGGCAGAACGGCGGCUGCACUUGUGGAGUUCGCAAUUGGAUAUGGUGGAGGGAAUGGAGACAGGCCAGUCCCUAUCUCAUUCCACUUCCGCCAGAUCCGGCGCCCAAUCUCUGGAGUCGGAAGCGCACUCUGCGGUCCCUUCCACCCAGGGAGAGGGAUCGACGCUCUGCUCUCUUCCUCCAAGGAGGUUGAUGUGGAAUCUGUCGACAUGGAUUCACCACCCCAUUCGCCGCAAUAUGAGGAGCUUUUGGAGGUGGUUACUCACACGGUGGCAAAAUUAAGUAUUGAGUGGCCCGCCAAAAAAACGACCGAACUGCAUCGAAGCAAGCUCGAUGAACGCUUCCUGCGUGCAAGUCAGCCACCUCCCAGCUGGGGCCUUCCAUUCUUUCCCGACCUGCAUGAUGAGACCGCCAGGUUGUGGAAACGCCCAUUUUCAGCCCGCCUCUACAUCCCCUCGUCUGACUACUGCGGCAACUUGGUGGGGAUGGGAGAGCACGUCUAUAGAGCGAUGCCCCGGGUGGAACAGACGCCUUGAGAGUUAUCUGUCCCCCAGCACGGCAUCAUCUCUGAAGGCCCCGGCAUUGCCCUCAAAGCCACUCAGAACAACAUCGGCUUUGACGGGCAAAAGGUAUGCGGCUGCAGGUCAGGCUGGUGCAUGUCUGCACACCAUGGCAGUGUUAUAGGCGUACCAAGCCGACCUGCUUAAAGAGCUAGAUGAGGGAGAGGAGAUCAAGUCCCAUGAUAAUUCAGAGCUAAGAAGGACCACUGAUCCCUCCCUCCGCGCCACCAAGGAGACUGCCCGAGCGAUUGGGCGCUCCAUGGCAGCUAUGGUGGCCGCGGAGAGGCACUUAUGGUUGACCCUGUCUGAUAUGAAAGAGCGGGACAGGGUCUGCCUCAUGGACGCCCCGAUCCAGCCGACUGGUCUGUUCGGCGACGCAGUCAAUUCUGUCGUUGACAGGUUUCAGGAGGCCCGCAAACAAGUUCCUCCCUCUUUGCUCUCUUGGGGCAUCUGUGUGGGAGAUGCCCCAUCCGCACCCUAGCUCCUCGUAUCCAGGGCCCAGAAACAGAGCAUCCCAGCCAAGGUCUUCUAAGCCUAAACAAGAUCUUAGGGCAGUCAUAGAAGUCAAGAAGUCCACAGUAGAAAAAGGCUACAGUAUUCAGUUUGGCUCUGUGCCGCCAAUAUUCAACGGGGUCAUUCCGAUGAUAGUCGGCCCCAGGCAGGGUCUGGUUAUGGAACAGGAAGUGAAAACCCUAUUAGAGAAGGAGGCCAUCGAGGUGGUCCCUCCUCAA